UACAGAGGUCCCAAGCGUUGUUCGGAUUCACUGGGCGUAAAGGGUGCGUAGGUGGCGAGGUAAGUCGGAUGUGAAAGCUCGGAUCACACGAUCGAGCAUUGGAAACUACCUUGCUCGAGGGUUGGAGGGGGGACUGGAAUUCUCGGUGUAGCAGUGAAAUGCGUAGAUAUCGAGAGGAACACCAGUGGCGAAGGCGAGUCCCUGGACAACUCCUGACACUGAGGCACGAAAGCUAGGGGAGCAAACAGG
rnacentral:rRNA from 1 species